AGCCUUUGUGUUGCUCAUUCACUUUUGGAAACUAGUGCUGAAUGUGAUGUCAAAAAAGCACAAGCAAAUGCUUUUGCAGCCUUUUCCUACCCUUAUGUUUUGAAUAUUGGGUGUAGGAGCUGCAUAAGUGACAUCA
ensembl:snoRNA